rnacentral:rRNA from 1 species
GUGUCAGCCGCCGCGGUAAUACGAAGGGUGCGAGCGUUGUUCGGAAUUACUGGGCGUAAAGGGUUUGUAGGCUGAAAUGUAAGUCAAGUGUGAAAUCCCCGAGCUAAACUUGGGACGUGCAUUUGAAACUGUGUUUCUUGAGUAUCGUAGAGGGUGGUGGAAUUGUAGGUGUAGGAGUGACAUCCGUAGAGAUCUGCAGGAACAUCAGAGGCGAAGGCGACCACCUGGCCGAUUACUGACGCUGAGGAACGAAAGCGUGGGGAGCAAACAGGAUUAGAUACCCUUGUAGUCC